GACAGAGGGUGCAAACGUUGCUCGGAAUCACUGGGCGUAAAGGGCGCGUAGGCGGGAAUGUAAGUCGGGCGUGAAAUCCCCAGGCUCAACCUGGGAACUGCACUCGAAACUGCGUUUCUUUGAGUAUCGGAGAGGAAAGCGGAAUUCCUGGUGUAGAGGUGAAAUUCGUAGAUAUCAGGAGGAACACCAGUGGCGAAGGCGGCUUUCUGGACGGUAACUGACGGCUG
rnacentral:rRNA from 1 species